UACGGGGGGGGCAAGCGUUGUUCGGAAUUACUGGGCGUAAAGGGCGCGUAGGCGGUUCGUUAUGUCGGAUGUGAAAGCCCUUGGCUUAACCGAGGAAGUGCAUCCGAAACUGGCGAGCUAGAGUACGAAAGAGGAUCGCGGAAUUCCCGGUGUAGAGGUGAAAUUCGUAGAUAUCGGGAGGAACACCGGUGGCGAAGGCGGCGAUCUGGGUCGAUACUGACGCUGAGGUGCGAAAGCGUGGGGAGCAACAGG
rnacentral:rRNA from 1 species